rnacentral:lncRNA from 1 species
CGAAGAGCUUCAGGCCUUUCUCCACACGCUCCUGCCGGUAGCCCGGGACCUGCAGAGAGACCUAGGAGUCGUGAUGCCAUUGGCAGCCCUAGGGGUGCUGUUGAUACACCAGUGGCCUCGGAGUCAGGACAUCUGGGUUCCACGUGGAUUCUGAUACCACCUUGCUGGGUAACUCUGGGGACUCUCUCUAAGACCCUGCUCUAUGCAGGGGAAGAGGAAGAAGAUGGUCUUAUCUUUCUGCCUCCAUUGUCUGUUCAUUGGGAGAUCUCUGCAAGGGUGUACCAUUCACUCAGCAAACACGAGUCAAUGACUCAGGUUGGUACAUGACCAGUGCCUGGGAAGCACCUUUCUUGAAGGCCUGGACUUAACCCAGAGAGCCCCACUUGAGGGGGCUGGGUGACCUCCCCUCCAGGACAGCCUGAAGCAAGAGGACACCUCCUUCUUCACACUUCCAGAGGAAUUUGUAUACUCUCCAGGGCCCUAAGAGAAUCCUGGUAAUUUGAAGCAAACGAAGGUGAUGCUACUUGAUGGUGAAUUAUGACCUGCAUGUGGGCACUGCUGUGUGUGGCGGCAGCUCAGGCCUCCAGAUGAACAGAGUGGCAAGAACCCCCAGGAAAGUGAGCAUGCAGUAGAGCCUCAGGCUGUUACAUAGCACCAAAGCUGUCACCAUAUUCCGUUCUGGAAACAUCCUCCCCCAGGGCCACCCUCUGCCACAGGGGUACUCAGGGAUCAGCCCUACAGCCUUACCUUCCUGCUAGAGGAAGAAAGCUGGAGAUUGCUGAAAUGCGUCAUGUUAAGACACCCCCAGACCUCCCCUCGAGUAGAGUGCAAAACCCACUCAACCAGGAUUCCAGCCAGUGUGGAAAGAAUGACAAUACAGAAGAGAGAAGCUCAAAAGUGAACAUGAAGAAAGAACUUGGGGUGUGGGGUAGCUACAGGAAAAGUUCUUUGUGGGACAGAAUCCCCUCUUGGAAAGCCUUGGUGGCCUGAGCUCACAUCUGCAUCCCUACUGCCCGCUCCAUCCAGGAUGGGGUUCUGCCAGCCUCACCAUCACUUUGUGCCUGCCGAUGAGGUUGGGGGACUCGCAGAGCAGCUGGACAUCUGACACGGUCACGGUGCACGGCUUCUCCCCAACCAGCACAGUGUAGUUCAGCUUCACGUUGCCCCCAGCCACAGGCGGGAUCAGGUUCUUGCCCUGUACAAAUGGGAAAGCACCAGUUCCCACCCCAGAGUGAGGACCACAGCUACCAGCUGGCUCUCAUGUCCUCCCACCUGGAGGUCCCAUCCCGCUGGUGAGCUGGUGAAGAAGCCACCUUUGGUAAUAAGUGCAAAAAAUAUUCAUGGCAUGACUACCACCAUUGCCUCUUCCUCCCAGUGGCUAAUCAGUUAUCAAAGUACUCCUUUCAGCUUAUCCCAAAUGCAGCCUCAGAAUCCUUCUCAAUGCAGAGUUGGAGUCAGUCACUACCAAUUGAUUCAAAUUGUCAUAAGCUUUAAUUAACCUGUAACCCAUGUUCCAAAGGAAGCCCUAUGCUGUGGUUCGCACAAGGCUGCCUCAGAGGAAGCAGUGAGCCUGACCUGCCAGUACUUGGACUUUCAGGACAAUAAAAGCUUGAGAGUCAAAUAGCCAAGGUGGAUCUGCCUUCCCUGGGUAGAACCGGCCCCUAAAGAGAGUUUUCUUCCCAGUACAGACUCAGAGAGAACAUUUAUCACACUCUGGGCUACACUGCAACCUCUGCAAGAGAUGCUGGUUGAGAAAUGUGGCAGGAGUCUGUGACUUGAACACCCCCUUCCAUGCAGCAGCCCCUUCUUUUCCCACCCCCGCCUCCCACCACCCUCACUCCACCUUUAGGAUGAUGGGCGUGCCAGGCUUGAGCUCCAGGAUUCCUGAGGGACCAAAGGCCUCAAACACCGGGUUGGGAUAGUAGGUGAAGUUGG